rnacentral:rRNA from 1 species
GAGUUUGAUCUUGGCUCAGAUUGAACGCUGGCGGCAUGCCUUACACAUGCAAGUCGAACGGCAGCACGGGAGCUUGCUCCUGGUGGCGAGUGGCGAACGGGUGAGUAAUGCAUCGGAACGUAUCCUGGAGUGGGGGAUAACGUAGCGAAAGUUACGCUAAUACCGCAUAUUCUGUGAGCAGGAAAGCGGGGGACCCUCGGGCCUCGCGCUCUUGGAGCGGCCGAUGUCGGAUUAGCUAGUUGGUGAGGUAAAGGCUCACCAAGGCGACGAUCCGUAGCAGGUCUGAGAGGAUGAUCUGCCACACUGGAACUGAGACACGGUCCAGACUCCUACGGGAGGCAGCAGUGGGGAAUUUUGGACAAUGGGGGCAACCCUGAUCCAGCCAUGCUGCGUGAGUGAAGAAGGCC